rnacentral:lncRNA from 1 species
GGGUCCCUUUAAAUUGAAAUCAACAUCAGGCAUGGAGAUCUUGGGGGUCUUGAAGUGCAUCUCAGGCAUCUUAAACUUGGGCCCUUUCAACUUUGCAUCAGGACACUCCAGCUCAACAUCAGGCACCUCCACACCCACACUGGGACCUGUUAAAUCUCCCUCCAAUUUUGGCACCGACACAUCCACAUCCCCUUUGACUUUGGGGCCUUUCAAGUGUAAGUCCACAUCAGGCAUGGAGAUCUUGGGGGCCUUGAAGUGCAUCUCAGGCAUCUUAAACUUGG